CAGAACGCGCACAAGCAAGAGCGUGCCAUCGCCAAGCGCCGGCGAGAGGCUGCCGCGGCAGCCACCCGUGCAGAGGAAUCAAGGUCAAGGAAGGCGGGGAGGCAUGCUGCUACUGCUACUCGGAUGCCCGAGCCAGCAGACGGCAAGCAGGGCGGGAGCUCGUCCAAGCGUGGUGACGACGACGAGGUGGACUUGUCUCUCCGGCUCUAAGCAAUCCCUCCAUCGAUCUUCUAAUAUAGGAGGAUUCGUGUUAUUUCCUGCUAGGUAAGUCAGAAUCUAGCUACUUUGGUUUGGAAAAAGAAUGUUUUACCUUCUGGCUCGUACAGCAACAAUUUGAUCAACCGUUUUCUUUCAAGCUCAUGUUGGGCGUGUGUUAGAUUCAUCGGCUCUUCUAGUUGAUUUUGUUUAUAAUGUCUUGGUAUUGAAUGCCCAAACCUUCCUGGUCCUUGAAAUGACACAAAAUCAUUCAUUUCACCGGUGUAUGCCUUCUCAUGCUAAUCACAUUGCAGAAAAAUCCAGAUCUACCAAAAUCUAAAUCCUUAGAGCUCAUUAGGGAUCUCUAAAAUAAAACCAUCAUGAAAUUGGGGUGUAGCUAACCUCCAGUUUUUGGACCUCCAACUGGUAAAACACAUCUGAAUCUGUAGAAACUAAUGAUCUUCUUUAAUCUCAUUUCAUAGUCUCCAACGAUAAUUUGGAACACAGAGGUAUUUGAAUGGAAACGAGCCCAGACCACAACCAAAAAGCGAACUCUUGAGAAAGUAAAUUUCAAGACAUGAAUGGUGUGAAAGAAAAUUAAAUGUGCUACAAAUUAGUUUUAUUGCUUCAAAUCAUGUUCCAUAAAGAGUGUAGUGUCAUCAAAAUAUUGAAGUAUUCGCUCCUUUCCUUUUUUGAUUGCCUACCUCAAAAAUCAGAAUUUUCCAAUUUGUAAGGCUCAUUGUCUUGGGAACAUGCAAACAUAGCUUUGUCCACAUUAAGUUAUUUCAAAAUUUUGUUCCCAAUGUGUAAUCAACCAAUGCCAUGAAGGAGUGAUAAGGCCAUGCAUGUAGCAUUAAAAGGUUGCCUAGAACUUAUGUAAGUCCUGCUUGAUUGAUUAUUUACAAGAUGAGCCCAACAAACCGGAAAGGAGGGAGUAUAUGUUUUGUCAUAGUCAAGAGAUGUGGAAAACACCACAGAUCUUGAAGUCCUGCUUUGUUUUUUUAUGGGCCAGUCCUCCUUUGCUACAUUUACGAGGAUAAGUAGCAUACCUGCUAUAACAUUGAUGCGGACAAAUGACAAAAGACCCCCUUGACGUGGGCUCUAUUUUUCGCCUGAAAAAGGAACAUCAUUGUUGACAUUUUUUCGAGAAGGAGGAUAACGCCAGGUCUCUUCAUCAAAGCGAUGCAUACAAUGAUUUUACUAAAUUAUUCAGUAGAACCCGACAAAACAAGAAUAUUGAUCAACCCAAAGCCACCUUCCUCAGUAACCAUAGUUGCUACACCUACCAACUUCAAGAUGUGUCCCGUCCGUGCAUCAACACACAUCAUAGCACCAACCGGUCUAGCAGACCCUAAGCGCGCACCGCACACACACGCUCUAGAAUCAUACGCCACCAUCUUCUACAAUCCCACCUUCAGGGGCAACCAACGCAUUCACCUUGCUAGGCCAUACUGUCGUCGAUACCACCACGACGCCCAACAACACUACCAACUGCGCACGUCCAUCAACACGCGUCCGUCGCCGAGGCUUCACUAUGCCACAGCGCAGAGACCAGUCGUCGUCACCGUAGUAGAAGCAACACGGCACCUCCUCUUGUCCCCUCCAGCCAUCAUUAGCUCCAAUUCGAUGCCCCCCGAGAGAGAGGACGGCCCCAAAGACCCCAUCAUCAUCCGAUUCGGGAAUCUCAGAUUUAGCGUUUCCCCCGAAGCAGCCGGACCGGGGUGACGAUGAUUGCAACCGACCAUGCCUUCGGCAAGGGGACGAUGACAAAGGCGCCGCCAUCGUCUGCCAUGAACGAGGUCGACACGGUUUUCACGGGCAGCAGCGCCAUCCUGAUCCCGCAAAUGACUGGAUCCGUGCGGAUCCACGUUGUGAAGACGAACACAGCCGCCGAAUCGCCAACAGAGGUUCUCCAGCUGCCCCUCACCGGACCCUCUAUGCGUCACCAGCUGGCCACAACUAUGGGCUGGCCGGGAGCCAACCCGCACAUCGUCGCCGAUAACCGCACCACCAACCCUCGUCGGCGAGCGUGUAGCACUGCCGCCACCGCCACCACCACACGGCCGCCUGGCGCCGCUGCCGGAGGCGAGACGCUGUGCCGCCAGCGACCCAGAUCCGGGCAAGUACCCCACGCCCAUGGGUGCCACGCAUCACCCAAACCUGCACGGGAGGGGAGAGAGCCUCCCGCACCGCCCUCGCCCGCCGGGCUUUUACAAUGGCUUCCUCGAGCGGUGAUGGAGUGAGGAACGGGAACUGCGGCAGCCUCGACGGCUAGGGUUCGAGGGUCCGCCCGAGUUGUCCAGGCGGGCGGCGACACGGGGGCGUGAGUCACACGGGGCGAGCAGCAAUUGAUGACAUUUAUGUCAACGCAUAUUUUUUCUGCAUAAUUUUUUCACCCAUGUUCGUAAAAAAAUGGGAAACCCAUCUCCGCUGAGCUUGCAUUGGGAAAUACCAGUGGACUAGUCUCAGAAUGUGGUUUCUUAUACUUAUCGCCUAGUUUGUUCUGCAAAUAUCUAAUACAAAACAUGUAUAACCUAUUAGGACCAAGGGCUUUGGACGGCAGCGAGGCAAGCUGGCGGAUCAAAGAGGUAAGUUGACCAUGUAUGUCAUUUGACAAAACCAUUACUGAGCAGUUACAACUACAACUACUUGUGAGUGUUUUUUUCUUACCCGGUUUUCCACCUUGUGAGUGCAAACCUCUCGCAGACACAUAUUUCCGUUAUUUUUGCUCUAUGCUAAGCAAGUCAAUGUGGUUCAGUUGUCGGGUCGGAAUUCAAGAACUCGCUAUAUUCAUUUUGAAAAAGCA
rnacentral:lncRNA from 1 species